rnacentral:rRNA from 1 species
UACGUAGGGGGCAAGCGUUGUCCGGAUUUAUUGGGCGUAAAGAGCGUGUAGGCGGCCAUGUAGGUCCGUUGUGAAAACUCGAGGCUCAACCUCGAGACGCCGAUGGAAACCAUGUGGCUAGAGUCCGGAAGAGGAGAGUGGAAUUCCUGGUGUAGCGGUGGAAUGCGCAGAUAUCAGGAGGAACACCGGUGGCGAAGGCGGGAUCCUGGGCCAGUACUGACGCUGAUGCGCGAAAGCUAGGGGAGCGAACGGG